UUCUUUUAGAUUAUUUAAUUAUUUCUUAAUUUUAGAUAUAACUGACUUUCAGAUAUAAAUUUUAUCCAGUAACCAUUGCAAAUAAUUAUUUUACUGCUAAAAAUUGUCUACAGAUUUUCUUCUCAAUACUUAUUGUUUUAUUGAGUAAAAUGCACCUUUUUAAACCCUCUUCUAACUCCUUCCAAUGAUUCUAAUUUCUAGAUAUCUUUCAAACCCAUCCUCAAUUCUCCUAUGUUGCCGAGGCUGGACUCCUGGUCUCAAGCCAUCCUCCUACUUCAGCCUCCCUAGAAGCUGCGACAAUAGGGACAUGGAUGAAUCUGGAGAACAUCAUCCUCAGCAAACUGACACAAGAACAGAAAAUGAAACACCACAUAUUCUCACUCAUAGGUGGGUGAUGAAAAAUGAGAACACAUGGACACAGAGAGGAGAAUACUAA
rnacentral:lncRNA from 1 species